GUGCUUGCUUUAGCACAUGUUCUAAAACUGGAAUGAAACAGGGAAGAUUAGCAUGACCCUUGUACAAGGAAGACAAAUAUGAAACUUUCCAUAUUUUA
rnacentral:snRNA from 1 species